UAAUGAUUUCAAUGGUUUACCCA
rnacentral:snRNA from 1 species